UACGAAGGGUGCAAGCGUUACUCGGAAUUACUGGGCGUAAAGCGUGCGUAGGUGGUUUGUUAAGUCUGAUGUGAAAGCCCUGGGCUCAACCUGGGAAUGGCAUUGGAUACUGGCGAGCUAGAGUGCGGUAGAGGGUAGUGGAAUUCCCGGUGUAGCAGUGAAAUGCGUAGAGAUCGGGAAGAACAUCGGUGGCGAAAGCGCUCUACUGGACCGCAACUGACACUCAGGGACGAAAGCUAGGGGAGCGAAUGGG
rnacentral:rRNA from 1 species